rnacentral:pre_miRNA from 1 species
UACAUACAUACAUACAUACAUACAUGCAUACGUACAUACGUAUGUAUGUAUGUAUGUAUGUAUGUACGUAUGUA